rnacentral:rRNA from 1 species
CCCGCUGAACUUAAGCAUAUCAAUAAGCGGAGGAAAAGAAACCAACAGGGAUUGCCUCAGUAACGGCGAGUGAAGCGGCAACAGCUCAAAUUUGAAAUCUGGCCCCUCGGGGUCCGAGUUGUAAUUUGUAGAAGAUGCUUCGGGUGUGGCUCCGGUCUAAGUUCCUUGGAACAGGACGUCAUAGAGGGUGAGAAUCCCGUAUGUGACUGGCAGCCUUCGCCCAUGUGAAGCUCUUUCGACGAGUCGGGUUGUUUGGGAAUGCAGCUCAAAAUGGGUGGUAAAUUUCAUCUAAAGCUAAAUAUUGGCCAGAGACCGAUAGCGCACAAGUAGAGUGAUCGAAAGAUGAAAAGCACUUUGGAAAGAGAGUUAAACAGUACGUGAAAUUGUUGAAAGGGAAGCGCUUGCAACCAGACUUGCGCGCGGCCGAUCAUCCGGGGUUCUCCCCGGUGCACUCGACCGCGCUCAGGCCAGCAUCGGUUUGGGCGGCUGGAUAAAGGCCCUGGGAAUGUGGCUCCCUUCGGGGAGUGUUAUAGCCCUGGGCGCAAUGCAGCCUGCCCGGACCGAGGACCGCGCUUCGGCUAGGAUGCUGGCGUAAUGGUUGUAAGCGACCCGUCUUGAAACACGG